GAUGAACGCUGGCGGCGUGCCUAAUACAUGCAAGUCGAGCGAACGGACGAGAAGCUUGCUUCUCUGAUGUUAGCGGCGGACGGGUGAGUAACACGUGGAUAACCUACCUAUAAGACUGGGAUAACUUCGGGAAACCGGAGCUAAUACCGGAUAAUAUUUUGAACCGCAUGGUUCAAAAGUGAAAGACGGUCUUGCUGUCACUUAUAGAUGGAUCCGCGCUGCAUUAGCUAGUUGGUAAGGUAACGGCUUACCAAGGCAACGAUGCAUAGCCGACCUGAGAGGGUGAUCGGCCACACUGGAACUGAGGCACGGUCCAGACUCCUACGGGAGGCAGCAGUAGGGAAUCUUCCGCAAUGGGCGAAAGCCUGACGGAGCAACGCCGCGUGAGUGAUGAAGGUCUUCGGAUCGUAAAACUCUGUUAUUAGGGAAGAACAUAUAUGUAAGUAACUGUGCACAUCUUGACGGUACCUAAUCAGAAAGCCACGGCUAACUACGUG
rnacentral:rRNA from 1 species